GCCGAGCAGACACUCACACUCCCUCAGCAGAAGAGACUAAGAUACAGUUUAGACUACAGUGUCCAGAGCUGCACUGAUCUUUGUGUGAUUUCACCAAGAUGGUCUUUAAUGGUUUGAGCACAAGAUUUCCCAAAAGGAAUAUACUUCCACACACCUGAUGCAGAAACAUUAUUCUUCGAGGAAUUGCCAUCUAAAUGAUAGAGCCUAAAAUAAGGGCUGAAGGUCACCUUUAAUUUACUUCUGGAAGCAGGUGAGAAAACGCAUUUUUGCCAUUCAAGGAGAUACUGAACGCAGCAUAAACGAGCUCUCGGGCUUGUGGAUCAUGGGAUAUGUGACUUGCAUGGGAGAAUAGUGCAAGCGGAUUGCCAGAAUGGAUGUAUGAUCUAUAAUCCGAUGAACAAAAUGUUUAUUUGUCUCAUUUUGAAGCUUCAACUUUGUGCGUAAAGCGCGCGUCUCCAAAGGCGCGCGAGGAUUAUCAUGCGCGCAAACGAGAAAAACGAUUACAGCAAAAAAAUUAUUGAACUAGAAAAAAAACAGCA